rnacentral:rRNA from 1 species
AUUGAACGCUGGCGGCAGGCCUAACACAUGCAAGUCGAGCGAGCGGCGGACGGGUGAGUGAUGUCUGGGAAACUGCCUGAUGGGGGGGGGUAACUACUGGGAACGGUAGCUAAUACCGCAUACCCUCAGAUGUGCCCACAUGGGAUUAGCUAGUAGUGGGGGUAACGGCUCACCUAGGCGACGAUCCCUAGCUGGUCUGAGAGGAUGACCAGCCACACUGGAACUGAGACACGGUCCAGACUCCUACGGGAGGCAGCAGUGGGGAAUAUUGCACAAUGGGCGCAAGCCUGAUGCAGCCAUGCCGCGUGUGUGAAGAAGGCCUUCGGGUUGUAAAGCACUUUCAGUGGGGAGGCGUUACCCGCAGAAGAAGCACCGGCUAACUCCGUGCCAGCAGCCGCGGUAAUAC